AUUAUCAUCAUCACUGAGGGAAAUGAUCAGAGGAUGGCUGGUUAGACAGGAGUUGCUGAGCAGCUGCCACUGACUUCUGUGUUCAGCACCUCUGAAAAUCAGGCGUGCGUGUGUGUGUGUUAUCAUCAGAGGUAAACAGAAUUUAUGAGAACACAACUUAUUUUCUCGUAUAAGCAGUAAUUGAGCAACUGCCAAAUACACAAGACCUGGAGGGAGGAAGAUGCAAGUCUGGCUCUCAGAAACAGAAGAAAUGAUGAACUGACACAUCUAAGUGCAAUACUGGUAGUCUGAAGUCUGACAUGCUGCAUCAACCACCACAGAAGAUUCAAGGCCUAUUCAGUGUGUGUGGUUAAAGCGAAAGUCCCCACCCAAACAACCCAGAGUCACUUCACCCCAGAGAAGAGGUACUCACAUGCAAUGCGAACAUAGGCCUUUCGACUCUUAGUAGUGCCGGCAGAGCUCCAAGCGACACACUGGCACCAGUAAUCUUCAGGUCCAAAGAGUUCUUCCACCUGCUGACGGGAAAUCUCAAUGCUCACUUCCCGAACAAUCAAACCUGUCAGGAUACAAUUAAUAUCCCGAAUGUAUUAGAGUUGGUGAAGCUAUUGUUCAGAGUAAUAUAUUAGAGAGCGAGCGCAUGCGAGUGUGCUUGCAAAACUCUUCUGAGCCCUGGCUGAUAAUCUACUCAACAGCCCUUAUCAUGAGGAGACUGUUAAGAAAAACCACAACAUUAUAGGUGAGUGAACAAGUGAAUAUUUUGCAAGACUCAUUUAUAUCAUGUAUACGUGCACGCACACACACACACACAGACACACACACACACAAUACAUCUAAACAUUGGGCAGAUCCUCAGCUAGUGUAAGCCAGAGUAGCUCCAUUGCUUCCAUUUCCCAUUGACACCAGGUGAGGAUCUGGCACAGUACAAUUUUAAUAUGAAACAUGCUUCCCAUCUCACACUAUCGGGAGCUGUGUAAAAAUACAAGUCUCCUCCUUUAAAAAAAAAUAUCAUCCAGUUUGGGGAUGCUGAUGGAGCAACUCUUGUUCACUAGAAUACUAAAUUGUGCAUAGCACCAUGACUUCACCCCUCCUAAAAACGGAACAGUUGUCUACACUGAUGGUCUCAAACCCUGCAGCUUAAUAAUUGUAAGCAGUAUUGUUUUGAACUAUACUGUCCAGAACAAGGGUCUACUGUGCACUACAGUAUUGCACACCACUGUGCUCUGCAUUGCCCCCUAACAUGCCUUCCCCCAUAUCCUGUAAUAAUGUAUUUUAAUGCAAUCCUCAAAAAUCUGCAAUGAGAACAACAGUGAUGAUAACGCUGUCAGUGCCAUUACAAACCUAGCAUUUGCCCAGUUACCACACAGUGCUAUCUGAUGUGCAGCAUUUUUUCCUAUUUUACGUACAAGGAAAUAUUGUGGUAUCUCAGAUACCACUGCAAUAUCUGUUGGUAAGAUGCUGACUUUUUAACACCAAUUGACAUACUCCAUGUUUUGCAUGAUCCCACCCUUACAAUUCACCAACCCUGUGAAAAUGCUCUUUACUUCAGUUUUAAAAUGGUAGCCAAGGGGUGUGGGUGGGUGGGUAGGGGGGAGAAUCUAUGCACCAUUUUUAAAACAUAUUUGCACUGUGUUGCUGAUGCCAAAGUCUCAAUAAACUUUGAGUGUGUCCAUCCAUAAAAAAAAAAAUCAUCACCAUUUCUAAAACGUAGUCCAACAAAGGACCUUAAGUAUAUAAACCUCACAUACAAAUAUUUUGUACAGUGUGACUGAUUCUCUUUUUCCUUAC